CCAAACUUGGUCAUUUAGAGGAAGUAAAAGUCGUAACAAGGUUUCCGUAGGUGAACCUGCGGAAGGAUCAUUACCGAGAUUAGGGCCCAUUUAGGGCCCAACCUCCCAACCCCAUGUUUACGAAUCUUUUUGUUGCCUUGGCGGAUCGUUAAAACACGCUGAAAUAUGUGUGCUGCCAUCGGCUUUUAAAAAGCCUUUGGUGUGACGCCCGCCGUAGGAAUUUUUAAGAAACUCGUUUAUAAACAAGAUUAAUAAAACUGAAGAGAGAUUUAAAUAAGCAAAAACUUUCAACAACGGAUCUCUUGGUUCUGGCAUCGAUGAAGAACGCAGC
rnacentral:misc_RNA from 1 species